rnacentral:rRNA from 1 species
UAUUGGCCGGCUCGUACCAUGCAGUCGAACGAGAAUUCCGGGCUUGCUCGGGAGAGUAAAGUGGCGAACGGGUGAGUAACGCGUGGGUAACCUGCCCCUGAAUCUGGAAUAACUUCGCGAAAGCGAGGCUAAUACCGGAUAUUGUCCCAGGGACCUCGGUCCUUGUGAUGAAAGAUGACCUCUUCAUGAAAGUUGUCGUUCAGGGAGGGGCCCGCGUACCAUUAGCUAGUUGGUAGGGUAAUGGCCUACCAAGGCGAUGAUGGUUAGCUGGUCUGAGAGGAUGACCAGCCACACUGGCACUGAAACACGGGCCAGACUCCUACGGGAGGCAGCAGUGAGGAAUUUUGCGCAAUAGGGGAAACCCUGACGCAGCAACGCCGCGUGAGUGAAGAAGGCCCUCGGGUCGUAAAGCUCUGUCAAGUGGGAAAAAAGCUUUCUGGUGAAUAGCCAGGAAGACUGAUGGUACCAUUGAAGGAAGCACCGGCUAACUCCGUGCCAGCAGCCGCGGUAAUACGGAGGGUGCAAGCGUUGUUCGGAAUUACUGGGCGUAAAGGGCGUGUAGGCGGUGUGGUAAGUCAGAUGUGAAAGCCCUGGGCUUAACCCAGGAAGUGCAUUUGAAACUGCCAUGCUUGAGUAUGGGAGAGGAGAGUGGAAUUCCCAGUGUAGAGGCGAAAUUCGUAGAUAUUGGGAGGAACACCCGUGGCGAAGGCGACUCUCUGGACCAAUACUGACGCUGAGGCGCGAAAGCGUGGGGAGCAAACAGGAUUAGAUACCCUGGUAGUCCACGCUGUAAACGAUGAGCACUAGGUGUAGCGGGUAUUGACCCCUGCUGUGCCGCAGCUAACGCAUUAAGUGAUCCGCCUGGGGAGUACGGCCGCAAGGUUAAAACUCAAAGGAAUUGACGG